rnacentral:rRNA from 1 species
UACAGAGGGCGCGAGCGUUGUCCGGAAUUACUGGGCGUAAAGCGUGCGUAGGUGGUUCGUUAAGUCUGAUGUGAAAGCCCUGGGCUCAACCUGGGAAUGGCAUUGGAAACUGGCGACCUAGAGUGCGGUAGAGGGUAGUGGAAUUCCCGGUGUAGCAGUGAAAUGCGCAGAUAUCGGGAGGAACACCUAUGGCGAAGGCAGCUCGCUGGGACGUUACUGACGCUGAGACGCGAAAGCGUGGGGAGCAAACAGG